AAUACGACUCUCGGCAACGGAUAUCUAGGCUCUCGCAUCGAUGAAGAACGUAGCAAAAUGCGAUACUUGGGGUGAAUUGCAGAAUCCCGUGAACCAUCGAGUUUUUGAACGCAAGUUGCGCCCGAAGCCAUUAGGCCGAGGGCACAUCUGCCUGGGCGUCACG
rnacentral:rRNA from 1 species